rnacentral:misc_RNA from 1 species
GUGAAUCAUCGAAUUUUUGAACGCAAAUUGCACUUUCUGGUAUUCCGGAAAGUAUGCCUGUUUGAGGGUCAGUUAAAUAAAAAUCGGUGUUGUUGCUGCCUUUCGUGGCGACGCGUCGGAAUUGGGUGGUCUUCCUUUCGGUUAAGUAACUUAAAUUUUUUCCUUGUUUUUGGACCGUAUUUAAAUGGCUUACGUCCGUUUAA